AACCCAGGGUUAUUUUGCUCUAACGUUUCACUCGCGAGUGAAACGUUAGAGGAAAAUACCCCUGGGUU
rfam:Nematostella vectensis strain CH2 x CH6 NEMVEscaffold_108_Cont13095, whole genome shotgun sequence.